UGUUUUGUUGGUAUAAAACAAGGACCCCUUGGAUUUCAUGCAGCACCAUCCCGAUGCCUUUAUGUAAUCGUCAUUCAGACUCUGCAUGUUUGGCAUUGCCUGUAAGGAGGCUGCCGGAACCAUGGUAACCCCUUGCAACUCAGCAAACAAUGAAAAGUAGACGGAUCAUUCUUUCCAGCGGCAUGUUGUGAGACCCCUAAAGCUGGACAGUUCCUGCCUGUGAACUCAGACUCUGACGAAACAGAACUCCUAGCAGUUGCUUUGAAUCCCUCUGGACUCCGCCUCAUUCCUCAGCUCUUUGUGUCACACACUGGUCAGGGGAGGCGGAUUUGAAAGUCGUGCAACACACUGUUGUGCCAAAGCUGUCAACUGAGGACUCUAACGUUGACGUUCCUCUUUCCCCGAUACGUGGAGCAAUAGCGUGCCCUCCGUCCUGUGGAAGCAAUUGUAGUCCGUAUUGGUGAGUCGUUUCCACAGAUGGCUCUGUGGCAAUCAACAGUGUCUCAACUCUGAGUUUAACCAUUGGAUCAAGAAAAUUUUUUAAAACGUAAGGAGUUUUGUUCUGAGGUCCACUAACAUCCCCAUAACAUGUGGACAAAAACACUUGGUCAAAAACACUUCCUGUCGCUUACCUGCAAUAGGAGUGCAGACGGCUGUCUUUGAUCACGUGGGGCAGCGAUGGUAUCCCUGCUGGGAGUACUUUCUUCAUAAACUAAAGGAAGGAAGC